AGUGAACGCUGGCGGUAGGCCUAACACAUGCAAGUCGAACGGCAGCACAGUAAGAGCUUGCUCUUACGGGUGGCGAGUGGCGGACGGGUGAGGAAUACAUCGGAAUCUACUUUUUCGUGGGGGAUAACGUAGGGAAACUUACGCUAAUACCGCAUACGACCUACGGGUGAAAGCAGGGGAUCUUCGGACCUUGCGCGAUUGAAUGAGCCGAUGUCGGAUUAGCUAGUUGGCGGGGUAAAGGCCCACCAAGGCGACGAUCCGUAGCUGGUCUGAGAGGAUGAUCAGGCAAACUGGAACUGAGACCAGGUCCAAACUCCUACGGGAGGCAGCAGUGGGGAAUAUUGGACAAUGGGCGCAAGCCUGAUCCAGCCAUACCGCGUGGGUGAAGAAGGCCUUCGGGUUGUAAAGCCCUUUUGUUGGGAAAGAAAAGCAGCAGGUUAAUACCCCGCUGUUCUGACGGUACCCAAAGAAUAAGCACCGGCUAACUUCGUG
rnacentral:rRNA from 1 species